GGGGAUAUAGCUUAGUUGGUAGAGUGCAUACACAUGGCCCUGGGUUCAAUCCCCAGCACCCCCC
rnacentral:tRNA from 1 species